rnacentral:snRNA from 1 species
GGAUGUGAGGGUGAUCUGGCUGUGACAUCUGUCAUCCCAUCGAUGCCAGGGUUGAUUCUGUUGAUCUGGCUGGCUAGGUGGGUGUCCCCUUCCUCCAUCACUGCUCCACGUGUGUUCCCCCUGAAGCUGUGGGCUAGGUCAAAGAGGGCCACCUUCCCUGAAUAGAGGACUGGUCCUCCCUCAAGGGUAUAUGAGUAUGUGUGCUCCCCUGCUAAAACCUCCAAAUAAGCUCUCAAGAAAGGGCUGUACACAUAUGAAAUAAACUUUUUAAAAACUAUUUUUUU